UGAGGGAAGUACAGAAACCCACGCCAGGAUGUCUGCUCCAAAGGUCAUUCUGCUCCUGUCUGAUAAAUCCAGCUGCGGGAUCUGCUGAUCUGAAGGAGCUGGUUGGAGUCAACCUAGAAUUCCAAAAAGCACUGGAGCAGCUCUUGUACACUGACCGCUUCUUUAAGAAUGACUUUGCUGUAGUUUUGCAGCCGUUCCUGAAACACGCAGAUCCUCCAAGACUCCCUAACGGGAAGAUUGACAUGAGCUUUUUUACUCCGGACUGUUUCCAGUU